rnacentral:misc_RNA from 1 species
UGCUGCACGACGGAGCACUUGAUGUUCUUCACCGACUUCUUGCUGCCGUUGGUGACGCUGAUGUUAGGGAUGAUGGUCUCGCCAUGGUAGUAGACGUCCUUGUCGAGGUUGACUUCCAUGUUGAGUUUCCCAGGUGAGAGGGUGAAGCCCUUGGAAACAAGGGUGCUCGGCUGGCGCCUGUUGCCGCCGGCAGGACAAUAUUGGACCUUCCUGACGGCGAGAUUGACGGAGUUUCGCUUGUG